GUUAACAUGGUUUAGUAAAACAUUGGGUUGUGGACCCAAAGACAGAAGUUCAACCCUUCUUGUAAACC
rnacentral:tRNA from 1 species